rnacentral:rRNA from 1 species
AGAGUUUGAUCCUGGCUCAGGAUGAACGCUGGCGGCGUGCUUAACACAUGCAAGUCGAAUGUAGUUUACUACAUGGCGGACGGGUGAGUAACGCGUGAGCAAUCUGCCCAUAUCUGGGGGAUAACAGUUGGAAACGACUGAUAAUACCGCAUAACAUGGUUUGAAGGCAUCUUCUUUCCAUCAAAGAUUUAUCGGAUAUGGAUGAGCUCGCGUCUGAUUAGCUUGUUGGUGAGGUAACGGCUCACCAAGGCGACGAUCAGUAGCCGACCUGAGAGGGUGAUCGGCCACAUUGGAACUGAGACACGGUCCAAACUCCUACGGGAGGCAGCAGUGGGGAAUAUUGGGCAAUGGAGGAAACUCUGACCCAGCAACGCCGCGUGAAUGAUGAAGGUCUUCGGAUUGUAAAGUUCUUUUCUAAGGGAAGAAGAAAGUGACGGUACCUUAGGAAUAAGCCUCGGCUAACUCUGUGCCAGCAGCCGCGGUAAUACAGAGGUCUCAAGCGUUGUUCGGAAUCACUGGGCGUAAAGCGUGCGUAGGCUGUUUCGUAAGUCGUGUGUGAAAGGCGCGGGCUCAACCCGCGGACGGCACAUGAUACUGCGAGACUAGAGUAAUGGAGGGGGAACCGGAAUUCUCGGUGUAGCAGUGAAAUGCGUAGAUAUCGAGAGGAACACUCGUGGCGAAGGCGGGUUCCUGGACAUUAACUGACGCUGAGGCACGAAGGCCAGGGGAGCGAAAGGGAUUAGAUACCCCUGUAGUCCUGGCAGUAAACGGUGCACGCUUGGUGUGCGGGGAAUCGACCCCCUGCGUGCCGGAGCUAACGCGUUAAGCGUGCCGCCUGGGGAGUACGGUCGCAAGAUUAAAACUCAAAGAAAUUGACGGGGACCCGCACAAGCGGUGGAGUAUGUGGCUUAAUUCGAUGCAACGCGAAGAACCUUACCUGGGCUUGACAUGUAAUGAACAACAUGUGAAAGCAUGCGACUCUUCGGAGGCGUUACACAGGUGCUGCAUGGCCGUCGUCAGCUCGUGUCGUGAGAUGUUUGGUUAAGUCCAGCAACGAGCGCAACCCCUGUUGCCAGUUACCAGCACGUGAAGGUGGGGACUCUGGCGAGACUGCCCAGAUCAACUGGGAGGAAGGUGGGGACGACGUCAGGUCAGUAUGGCCCUUAUGCCCAGGGCUGCACACGUACUACAAUGCCCAGUACAGAGGGGGCCGAAGCCGCGAGGCGGAGGAAAUCCUAAAAACUGGGCCCAGUUCGGACUGUAGGCUGCAACCCGCCUACACGAAGCCGGAAUCGCUAGUAAUGGCGCAUCAGCUACGGCGCCGUGAAUACGUUCCCGGGUCUUGCACUCACCGCCCGUCA